rnacentral:rRNA from 1 species
CACGUAGGGCGCAAGCGUUGUCCGGAAUUAUUGGGCGUAAAGAGCUCGUAGGCGGUCUGUUGCGUCCGCUGUGAAAACUCGGGGCUUAACCCCGAGCCUGCAGUGGAUACGGGCAGACUAGAGGUAGGUAGGGGAGAAUGGAAUUCCCGGUGUAGCGGUGAAAUGCGCAGAUAUCGGGAGGAACACCGGUGGCGAAGGCGGUUCUCUGGGCCUUACCUGACGCUGAGGUGCGAAAGCGUGGGGAGCAAACAGG